AUUGAACGCUGGCGGCAGGCCUAACACAUGCAAGUCGAGCGGAGCGGCGGACGGGUGAGUAAUGCCUAGGAAUCUGCCUGGUAGUGGGGGAUAACGUCCGGAAACGGGCGCUAAUACCGCAUACUAUCAGAUGAGCCUAGGUCGGAUUAGCUAGUUGGGGGGGUAAAGGCCUACCAAGGCGACGAUCCGUAACUGGUCUGAGAGGAUGAUCAGUCACACCUGGACUGAGGAACGGUUCCGGCCCCUACGGGGGGCAGCAGUGGGGAAUAUUUGACCAUUGGGGAAAGGCCGAUCCCGCCAUGCCGCGUUUGUGAAGAAGGUCUUCGGAUUUUAAAGCCCUUUAAGUUUGGAGGCGUUACCAACAGAAUAAGCACCGGCUAACUUCGUGCCAGCAGCCGCGGUAAUAC
rnacentral:rRNA from 1 species